rnacentral:rRNA from 1 species
AAACUUAAAUGAGUUGACGGGGAGGCACCACAACGGGUGGAGCUUGCGGUUUAAUUGGAUUCAAACGCCGGAAAUCUUACCGGGACCGACAGCAAUAUGAAGGCCAGGCUGAGGACUUUGCCGGAUUAGCUGGGAGGAGGUGCAUGGCCGUCGUCAGUUCGUACUGUGAAGCAUCCUGUUAAGUCAGGCAACGAGCGAGACCCACGCCAACAGUUGCCAGCUCGUCCUCCGGGAUGGUGGGGACACUGUUGGGACCGCCUCUGCUAAAGAGGAGGAAGGAAUGGGCAACGGUAGGUCAGCAUGCCCCGAAUUAUCUGGGCUACACGCGGGCUACAAUGGGUGGGACAAUGGGUAUCGACACCGAAAGGUGAAGGCAAUCUCCUAAACCCAUCCGUAGUUCGGAUUGUGGGCUGCAACUCGCCCACAUGAAGCUGGAAUCUGUAGUAAUCGUGUCUCAAAAUGGCACGGUGAAUAUGUCCCUGCUCCUU